UAGCAAGCCUCUCCAGUGUGCUGGGUCUGUGGUGACCCUGUGCAUUCCUCAGUGCUUGCAAGAAAAUUUUGAGAUUGUUUGAGGCCUUGCCCUGCUUCAUCCAGAGCAAGGUUAUAGAAAUUUCAGACAACU
ensembl:snoRNA